GCAAGUCGAACGAACUCUGGUAUUGAUUGGUGCUUGCAUCAUGAUUUACAUUUGAGUGAGUGGCGAACUGGUGAGUAACACGUGGGAAACCUGCCCAGAAGCGGGGGAUAACACCUGGAAACAGAUGCUAAUACCGCAUAACAACUUGGACCGCAUGGUCCGAGUUUGAAAGAUGGCUUCGGCUAUCACUUUUGGAUGGUCCCGCGGCGUAUUAGCUAGAUGGUGGGGUAACGGCUCACCAUGGCAAUGAUACGUAGCCGACCUGAGAGGGUAAUCGGCCACAUUGGGACUGAGACACGGCCCAAACUCCUACGGGAGGCAGCAGUAGGGAAUCUUCCACAAUGGACGAAAGUCUGAUGGAGCAACGCCGCGUGAGUGAAGAAGGGUUUCGGCUCGUAAAACUCUGUUGUUAAAGAAGAACAUAUCUGAGAGUAACUGUUCAGGUAUUGACGGUAUUUAACCAGAAAGCCACGGCUAACUACGUGCCAGCAGCCGCGGUAAUACGUAGGUGGCAAGCGUUGUCCGGAUUUAUUGGGCGUAAAGCGAGCGCAGGCGGUUUUUUAAGUCUGAUGUGAAAGCCUUCGGCUCAACCGAAGAAGUGCAUCGGAAACUGGGAAACUUGAGUGCAGAAGAGGACAGUGGAACUCCAUGUGUAGCGGUGAAAUGCGUAGAUAUAUGGAAGAACACCAGUGGCGAAGGCGGCUGUCUGGUCUGUAACUGACGCUGAGGCUCGAAAGUAUGGGUAGCAAACAGGAUUAGAUACCCUGGUAGUCCAUACCGUAAACGAUGAAUGCUAAGUGUUGGAGGGUUUCCGCCCUUCAGUGCUGCAGCUAACGCAUUAAGCAUUCCGCCUGGGGAGUACGGCCGCAAGGCUGAAACUCAAAGGAAUUGACGGGGGCCCGCACAAGCGGUGGAGCAUGUGGUUUAAUUCGAAGCUACGCGAAGAACCUUACCAGGUCUUGACAUACUAUGCAAAUCUAAGAGAUUAGACGUUCCCUUCGGGGACAUGGAUACAGGUGGUGCAUGGUUGUCGUCAGCUCGUGUCGUGAGAUGUUGGGUUAAGUCCCGCAACGAGCGCAACCCUUAUUAUCAGUUGCCAGCAUUAAGUUGGGCACUCUGGUGAGACUGCCGGUGACAAACCGGAGGAAGGUGGGGAUGACGUCAAAUCAUCAUGCCCCUUAUGACCUGGGCUACACACGUGCUACAAUGGAUGGUACAACGAGUUGCGAACUCGCGAGAGUAAGCUAAUCUCUUAAAGCCAUUCUCAGUUCGGAUUGUAGGCUGCAACUCGCCUACAUGAAGUCGGAAUCGCUAGUAAUCGCGGAUCAGCAUGCCGCGGUGAAUACGUUCCCGGGCCUUGUACACACCGCCCGUCACACCAUGAGAGUUUGUAACACCCAAAGUCGGUGGGGUAACCUUUUAGGAACCAGC
rnacentral:rRNA from 1 species